AACGUAGGUGGCGAGCGUUAUCCGGAUUUACUGGGCGUAAAGGGUGUGCAGGCGGGCGACCAAGUGGGGUAUGAAAUCUCCCAGCUAAACUGGGAUAGGUUAUGCCAGACUGGUGGUCUAGAGUGCGAGAGAGGGGCGUGGAAUUCCGGGUGUAGUGGUGAAAUGCGUAGAGAUCCGGAGGAACACCGAUGGCGAAGGCAAUCCCCUGGGCCUGCACUGACGCUCAUGCACGAAAGCGUGGGGAGCAAACAGG
rnacentral:rRNA from 1 species